AUGUAUGUGACAAAUUUUCUUUGAGAGGCGGAGAGGGGAUCUACCCAUGGGAAAUCUUUCUGAGCUUUAGCACCUCAAUCAUUUGUGGAUAUUGUCUCCUUACGAGUUAUUUUACCUCUGUUUCAGAUUCCAAUUGAUUGCUUUGAGGAGCCAUGGGUUAUCUUUCGUGGGAAAGAUGGGAAAACUGGAUGUGUCCAGAACACCUGUGCACACAGAGCCUGUCCACUUCACCUUGGUUCAGUAAAUGAGGGUCG
rnacentral:misc_RNA from 1 species